rnacentral:rRNA from 1 species
UACGAGAGGCCCAAACGUUAUUCGGAAUUACUGGGCUUAAAGAGUUCGUAGGCGGCAUUGCAAGUAGGGUGUGAAAGCCAUCGGCUCAACCGAGGAAUUGCGCUCUAAACUGCAGUGCUUGAGGAACCUAGAGGUGAGCAGAACAGAUGGUGGAGCGGUGAAAUGCGUUGAUAUCAUCUGGAAUACCGGAGGCGAAGGCGGCUCACUGGGAGUUUUCUGACGCUGAGGAACGAAAGCCAGGGUAGCGAACGGG